rnacentral:tRNA from 1 species
GUUUCUAUAGUUUAAAUAAAAAUAUUAAAUUGCAAAUUUAAAGAUAAGUUAUUUAGAAAUU